rnacentral:tRNA from 1 species
GCGGGUAUAGUAUAAUGGCUAUUAUGCGAGGUUUCCAACCUUGAGAUGGGAGUUCGAUCCUCCCUACCCGCUCCA